GCCAGAACCAGGGAAAUAACGAUGUCAAAUAUUGUUUUGUUAAUCGUUAUUGUCUUGACAUGUAUUUCUACCGAAACCGCUGCCCAAGUGGUCUGUGUUAAUCCGAUAGAAAUUGGCGAACUUCGAGUUUUGAAGUCAAAGAAAUGUGUUAACAUAGAUGGAACAGAUGGUCGUGGAAAGAUUAAUACAAUUCACUGUGACGGCUAUCAUGAUCAACAAAUCAUUAUGUGUGGAGAUGGCACGAUAAGGAAUUCAAAAGCUCCUCAUAAUUGUUUUACACC